rnacentral:rRNA from 1 species
GAUGAACGCUGGCGGCGUGCCUAAUACAUGCAAGUCGAGCGAACGGACGAGAAGCUUGCUUCUCUGAUGUUAGCGGCGGACGGGUGAGUAACACGUGGAUAACCUACCUAUAAGACUGGGAUAACUUCGGGAAACCGGAGCUAAUACCGGAUAAUAUUAUGAACCGCAUGGUUCAAAAGUGAAAGACGGUCUUGCUGUCACUUAUAGAUGGAUCCGCGCUGCAUUAGCUAGUUGGUAAGGUAACGGCUUACCAAGGCAACGAUGCAUAGCCGACCUGAGAGGGUGAUCGGCCACACUGGAACUGAGACACGGUCCAGACUCCUACGGGAGGCAGCGGUAGGGAAUCUUCCGCAAUGGGCGAAAGCCUGACGGAGCAACGCCGCGUGAGUGAUGAAGGUCUUCGGAUCGUAAAACUCUGUUAUUAGGGAAGAACAUAUGUGUAAGUAACUGUGCACAUCUUGACGGUACCUAAUCAGAAAGCCACGGCUAACUACGUG